rnacentral:rRNA from 1 species
UACGGGGGGGGCAAGCGUUGUUCGGAAUUACUGGGCGUAAAGGGCUCGUAGGCGGCCAACUAAGUCGGAUGUGAAAUCCCCAGGCUUAACCUGGGAACUGCAUCCGAUACUGGAUGGCUUGAAUCCGGGAGAGGGAUGCAGAAUUCCAGGUGUAGCGGUGAAAUGCGUAGAUAUCUGGAGGAAUACCGGUGGCGAAGGCGGCAUCCUGGACCGGCAUUGACGCUGAUGAGCGAAAAGCGUGGGGGAGCGAACAGGGA